rnacentral:rRNA from 1 species
AUACGUAGGUGGCAAGCGUUAUCCGGAAUUAUUGGGCGUAAAGGGUGCGUAGGCGGUUGAUUAAGUUUUAGGUGAAAGCGUGGGGCUCAACUCCAUACAGCCUAAGAAACUGGUCAACUAGAGUGCAGAAGAGGGAAGUGGAAUUCCAUGUGUAGCGGUGAAAUGCGUAGAGAUAUGGAGGAACACCAGUGGCGAAGGCGGCUUCCUGGUCUGUAACUGACACUGAGGCGCGAAAGCGUGGGGAGC